rnacentral:rRNA from 1 species
AUUGAACGCUGGCGGCAGGCCUAACACAUGCAAGUCGAACGGUAACAGGAAGCAGCUUGCUGCUUUGCUGACGAGUGGCGGACGGGUGAGUAAUGUCUGGGAAACUGCCUGAUGGAGGGGGAUAACUACUGGAAACGGUAGCUAAUACCGCAUAACGUCGCAAGACCAAAGAGGGGGACCUUCGGGCCUCUUGCCAUCGGAUGUGCCCAGAUGGGAUUAGCUAGUAGGUGGGGUAACGGCUCACCUAGGCGACGAUCCCUAGCUGGUCUGAGAGGAUGACCAGCCACACUGGAACUGAGACACGGUCCAGACUCCUACGGGAGGCAGCAGUGGGGAAUAUUGCACAAUGGGCGCAAGCCUGAUGCAGCCAUGCCGCGUGUAUGAAGAAGGCCUUCAGGUUGUAAAGUACUUUCAGCGGGGAGGAAGGGAGUAAAGUUAAUACCUUUGCUCAUUGACGUUACCCGCAGAAGAAGCACCGGCUAACUCCGUG